CCUACGGGAGGCAGCAGUGAGGAAUAUUGGUCAAUGGGCGCGAGCCUGAACCAGCCAAGUAGCGUGAAGGAUGACUGCCCUACGGGUUGUAAACUUCUUUUAUAAAGGAAUAAAGUGAGGCCCGUGUGCCUUUUUGUAUGUACUUUAUGAAUAAGGAUCGGCUAACUCCGUGCCAUCAGCCGCGGUAAUACGGAGGAUCCGAGCGUUAUCCGGAUUUAUUGGGUUUAAAGGGAGCGUAGAUGGGUUGUUAAGUCAGUUGUGAAAGUUUGCGGCUCAACCGUAAAAUUGCAAUUGAUACUGGCAGUCUUGAGUACAGUUGAGGUAGGCGGAAUUCGUGGUGUAGCGGUGAAAUGCUUAGAUAUCACGAAGAACUCCGAUUGCGAAGGCAGCUUACUAAACUGCCACUGACAUUGAUGCUCGAAAGUGUGGGUAUCAAACAGGAUUAGAUACCCGAGUAGUC
rnacentral:rRNA from 1 species